rnacentral:rRNA from 1 species
UUGGAGGGCAAGUCUGGUGCCAGCAGCCGCGGUAAUUCCAGCUCCAAUAGCGUAUAUUAAAGUUGUUGCAGUUAAAAAGCUCGUAGUUGAAUUUCGGGGUCUGUCCGUCGGUCGGGCUUCACGGUCCGUACUGGUGUGAUGGGUUCCUACCUUCUGAAUAACCGGCAUGCCAUUCAGUUGGUGCGCCGGGGAAGCAGAGCUAUUACCUUGAAAAAAUUAGAGUGCUUAAAGCAGGCUAGUGCUUGAAUAGAUUAGCAUGGAAUAAUAAAAUAGGACGGCAUGGUUCUAUUUUGUUGGUUUCUAGGAUCACCGUAAUGAUUAAUAGGGAUAGUUGGGGGCAUUAGUAUUCAAUUGUCAGAGGUGAAAUUCUUGGAUUUAUUGAAGACUAACUUCUGCGAAAGCAUUUGCCAAGGAUGUUUUCAUUAAUCAAGAACGAAAGUUAGGGGAUCGAAGACGAUCAGAUACCGUCGUAGUCUUAACCAUAAACUAUGCCGACUAGGGAUCGGACGAUGUUAAUUUUUUAAUGACUCGUUCGGCGCCUUACGGGAAAC